rnacentral:lncRNA from 1 species
AGAGAAUGUGUGAGUUUGGCGCUUUAAACAGAAACUUGAAAUACCCAGUCGCUCUCUGGGCAUUUAGAAUGCUAUUUUCUGGCAGUAUUUUAAAACAAUAUAGAUGAAGCCUCCGCUGUUACUUUCCUAAAAUACGUCAAGCUGCCUUUGACAGCAGCUUUAAUUUUUUAACCUCCUUGUCAAUCACUAACCCCUCGAGGUUACCGGACCCCGCUGCUGAGCUUUGGAAUAGUCCCUGCUGGACACCUGCUUGGUGUCUCUCCUCUAGGCAAUUUGUGAGCUGUUUGGGGGCGGGGGAGUUGUGAAGGGGGGUGAAGGGGAGGGAAAGGGGGAGAAAAGAAGGGGAGGGCAGCGCUGAAUUAGAUUGUUGAUAGCGUCCCUCCGAGGACUGCUAUUAAGAGCAUGCUAUUCUGUACUCUGCUGCAGAAGACAGAGUGGUAUUCGUGUUAGCACACAGCAUGUUGUAAUGUAUGAGAUUUUUGCUCAUCCCGGCUUGGAAUUCAGAAUAGGGAAAAGAGAGCAACUUGCAUGAGAAGCUACUGGAAGAGCGUGCAGAGUUUUGCAGCAGUUGAUAUUUGUUCUUACAUUUUUUUCCUUCUUCAAACUGGAAAACUGAGAGACUGGCAUUUUUUAAACGAGCUCUUCCCAUAAUGGCAUUCUUGUAUUGUGUGGCCAGAGCUUGCAGAGGAGGAAAGCAGGCUGCCGAAUUUAGUCACUGAUCUCUGUUAGCUGUGGCCUAAGGCUAUGCUGAGGUUUAUAUCCCAUUUGUAUUGUUGCAGCUCAAAAGAAGAAUGUUCAGAGGAUGACAAGUGUAUUCUGAGUAGAUCUCUAGUGGAAGAGGAAGACCAGCACAUGAAAUUGUCCCUUGGAAGCAGUGAAAUGGGCCUCUCUUCCCAUUUGCAGUCUUCCAAGGCUGGAACCACACGCAUCUUUACCAGCAAUACCCACAGUUCUGUGGUGUUACAGGUAAGUUCACUGUCCCUUUUACAUUAUUUACAUAGCUUCAGAAACCAUCCAGGGUUUUUUUGGUGUGGGAUGUCACUAGUGGGAGACGUUGUGCCUGUGUGUGGACAA